UACGUAGGUGGCAAGCGUUGUCCGGAAUUAUUGGGGGUAAAGCGCGCGCAGGUGGUUCCUUAAGUCUGAUGUGAAAGCCCACGGCUCAACCGUGGAGGGUCAUUGGAAACUGGGGAACUUGAGUGCAGAAGAGGAAAGUGGAAUUCCACGUGUAGCGGUGAAAUGCGUAGAGAUGUGGAGGAACACCAGUGGCGAAGGCGACUUUCUGGUCUGUAACUGACACUCAGACACGAAAGCUAGGGUAGCAAACGGG
rnacentral:misc_RNA from 1 species